CCUGCGUGCUUUUAAUCACCGCAAUAUUCACCACCAAUAUAAUUUCCAUUGUUUUUCAGGAUCCUCAGGAAUGGAAGCAAUAAAUGUGACUUGUCUAUUAUUGGCCCAUUACAUCCAAGAGCAGCCUUUCCUCUCCUGUAUGUGGUUCUGUCAUUCCCCAAGCAAUUAAUGUCAAAAGUGAGGAGCAGGCAUUUGCAAAGAGGCCAAUUAAAGACUACAUCAUUGUCAAAAUGUCUGAAAGCCAGAAACCCAGCAGGCAAGAGAAUCAUGGCAGAAUUGAGAAGUCAAAUGAAUGGAAGAGACCUACAUGAUUAAAACAAAACAGUGACCUCUCCGAGUUGAGUUGAAGACAGGGGAGUGCUGGAGCCCACACAUGUACUUGGACGACCAGACUGUGUGCAUCUCUUCCUGAUGCUGCAUUCAGUGACAUCACAUUGGUAGUUUGAAAUCAACCGUAAUGGAGGUAUUUAUGGAAAUUGGCAAAUGUUACAAAUGAAAACUUUUCUUCCCUGGAAAACCAGUUGUUAAACAUUCACCAGCACAUCACUGAUUGAAGAGGAAGGAAGAUGAUUGGGUCAGGGGAAGUGAAGGUGGCUAAGGAUGGUAGGGUAAUUUGAUUUGCUCAGUAAAUGACCCAUGCCUUUCAAACUUAAUAGUUCCAGCCAUCUAUGAAUCUUCCAUGGUUCAGUAACUUUAUAAUGACAGCAAAAAUAGUAAUACAUCCUUGUUGCAAGUGCCUACUGUGUGCCAGCAAUGUACUUGGUGUUCUUCCUAGGCACCUUAUGCAAUUUUAGCAACUUUAUUAGUUGAGAAUUAUCAUGCAAAUCUUACAU
rnacentral:lncRNA from 1 species